AACCAAACCUUUGUUCAGUUUGAUCCGGACCAAGACUACCUCUUUUCGUCGGACCAAAUUUCAUCUGUUGUAUCUGGACCGUGAUCCGGGUUCAGAUAAGACAUGGAUUCAUUAAGACGAUUCAUCAGGACACGGCUGGACUGGAACAGGCAAGGCACUCUGGCAACAGUGAGGACUGCACUGCGGCCAGUCGAGACACUAUUGAGACAUAGGCCUGGAGGCCGAGGUGCAGCCAGGGACUGGUGAAAGGCAAGCCUGAGGCAGAGCUGAAGAGCCGCACUGAGCUAGCCGACAACACCAGUGGAGCCGGUGGAUUCAAGUGGCUGGAUGGAACCAGCGAAGUCAGUUGGGAACAUUGGAAGAGGAAGAUUUCCGGAUG